AAUCAACAUAAAAGUAGUCGAUGGCUAAUCAAUGUACAUUCGAUUCAUAACCAACCAUCAUGAUAACCUGGAAAAUAUAUAUGCAAAUAAUGAAAUACUAUUUACAUAUCUCUGCAUUUUUUAAUCAAUUCAGCUUCAGCUUUUUAAAAAAUAAUUGAAAAAUUUCAACUUUUCUCCAAGUAAAAUUCAUGUCCAAAUAAAAUUUUGUCUUCCAAAUGCUCUUUUUCAACUAUAAAUACUUAUCUUCUUUCAACUUCAACAUAGUAUUGUCCAAACGGCGCCUCAAGAAAAUACUCAGUUUUUCCUUCUAGACCCUGCAAUAACAAAGAGUUCAUAUCUGUCAUGUUAAAAGAAAAUCCAA